AGACAUGCAAGUCGAACGAGUAGAACUUGUUCUGCUAGUGGCAAACGGGCGAGUAAUACAUAUUUAACUUACUUUCACGAGGAGGAUAGCAGUUCGAAAGGGCUAUUAAUACUCCAUAGGUUUAUAAACUAAAUUAAAAGAGGCUCCCUCGGGGGCCUCGCGUGAAAAUAGGAAUAUGUCCUAUUAGGUAGUUGGUGGGGUAAAGGCCCACCAAGCCAGUGAUGGGUAGCUGGACUGAGAGGUUGAACAGCCGCAAUGGGAUUGAGAUAUGGCCCAUAUUCCUACGGGAAGCAGCAGUGAGGAAUUUUUCACAAUGGACGAAAGUCUGAUGGAGCAAUACCACGUGAACGAUGAAGGUCUUCUGAUUGUAAAGUUCUUUUAUUUAGGAAAAAAAGCGCGCUAGGAAAUGAGCGCGCCUUGAUGGUACUAAUUGAAUAAGUGACAGCUAACUAUGUGCCAGC
rnacentral:rRNA from 1 species